rnacentral:rRNA from 1 species
GCGGACGGGUGAGUAACGCGUGGGGUCGUGCCCUUUGCUACGGAAUAUUCCCGGGAAACUGGGUUUAAUACCGGAGGUGCCCUCCGUUUUGGUGAUGGGUGGGGAGAGAUUUAUCGGCAAAGGAUCGGCCCGCGUUGGAUUAUGUAGUUGGUGGGGUAAUGGCCUACCUAGCCGACUAUCCAUAGCUGGUUUGAGAGGAUGAUCAACCACACUGGGACUGAGACACGGCCCAGACUCCUACGGGAGGCACCAGUGGGGAAUCUUAGACAGUGGGGGCAACCCUGAUCUAGCCAUGCCGCGUGAGUGAUGAAGGCCUUAGGGUUGUAAAGCUCUUUCAGCUGGGAAGAUAAUGACGGUACCAGCAGAAGAAGCCCCGGCUAGCUCCGUGCCCGCAGCCGCGGUAAUACGGAGGGGGCUAGCGUUGUUCGGAAUUACUGGGCGUACAGCGCACUGUAGGCGGACUGGAAAGUUGGGGGUGAAAUCCCGGGGCUCAACCUCGGAACUGCCUUCAAACUAUCACUCUGGAGUUCGAGAGAGGUGAGUGGAAUUCCUAGUGUAGAGGUGAAAUUCGAAAAUAUUCGGAGGAUCACCAUUGGCGAAGGCGGCUCACUGGCUCGAUACUGACUCUGAGGUGCGAAAGCGUGCGGAGCAAACAGGAU